CGUGUAGGCGGGUCGUUAAGUUGGGGGUGAAAUCCCAAGGCUCAACCUUGGAACUGCCUUCAAAACUGGCGACCUGGACUCAAGCAGAGGCAAGUGGAAUUGCGAGUGUAGAGGUGAAAUUCGUAGAUAUUCGCAGGAACACCAGUGGCGAAGGCGACUUGCAGGGCUUGUAGUGACGCUGAGACGCGAAAGCGUGGGGAGCAAACA
rnacentral:rRNA from 1 species